rnacentral:rRNA from 1 species
UACGUAGGGGGCAAGCGUUGUCCGGAUUUAUUGGGCGUAAAGAGCUCGUAGGUGGUUCGGUAAGUCGGAUGUGAAAUCUCCAGGCUCAACCUGGAGGGGUCAUUCGAUACUGCCGUGACUAGAGUUCGGUAGGGGAGUGUGGAAUUCCUGGUGGAGCGGUGAAAUGCGCAGAUAUCAGGAGGAACACCGAUGGCGAAGGCAGGUCUCUGGGCCACUACUGACGCUGAGAAGCGAAAGCAUGGGGAGCGAACAGG